GAGCGCUCGCGUGCGGUGACCCGUCUGUCUCAUUCUUUUUUUCUUUUUUAAAUGUAACCUGGUUUAUUGGGCUCUCGGCGUAUUCUUGCGUUCCUUCUGCACUGGGACAAGACACCACUGCACUAUUGGACUACGGCAAGCUGGUGCCGUCCGGUGGAGCUUCAUACAGGAACUACUGCCUUAUCUGCUGGUGUCACAACGUUGGAUGAACGCACAAAAAGCGCGGAACGAGCUUUUAUAUAGAGCAAAAUAAAUAUUUCCUCAUUGCACAAAA